rnacentral:rRNA from 1 species
UACCAGACUCCUACGGGAGGCAGCAGUGGGGAAUAUUGGACAAUGGGCGAAAGCCUGACCCAGCAAUGCCGCGUGAAUGAAGAAGGUCUUAGGAUUGUAAAAUUCUGUCCUAUGGGAAGAAACAAAUGACGGUACCAUAGGAGGAAGCCCCGGCUAACUACGUGCCAGCAGCCGCGGUAAUACGUAGGUGGCAAGCGUUGUCCGGAUUUACUGGGUGUAAAGGGCGUGUAGCCGGGCUUACAAGUCAGAUGUGAAAUCCGGGGGCUCAACCCCCGAACUGCAUUUGAAACUGUAGGUCUUGAGUAUCGGAGAGGCAGGCGGAAUUCCUAGUGUAGCGGUGAAAUGCGUAGAUAUUAGGAGGAACACCAGUGGCGAAGGCGGCCUGCUGGACGACAACUGACGGUGAGGCGCGAAAGCGUGGGGAGCAAACAGGAUUAGAUACCCCAGUA